rnacentral:rRNA from 1 species
UACGGAGGGGGCUAGCGUUGUUCGGAAUUACUGGGCGUAAAGCGCGCGUAGGCGGCUUUGUAAGUUAGAGGUGAAAGCCCGGAGCUCAACUCCGGAAUUGCCUUUAAGACUGCAUCGCUAGAAUCAUGGAGAGGUUAGUGGAAUUCCGAGUGUAGAGGUGAAAUUCGUAGAUAUUCGGAAGAACACCAGUGGCGAAGGCGACUAACUGGACAUGUAUUGACGCUGAGGUGCGAAAGCGUGGGAGCGAACAGG